rnacentral:rRNA from 1 species
GACGAACGCUGGCGGCGUGCUUAACACAUGCAAGUCGAACGGAAAGGCCCCUUCGGGGGUACUCGAGUGGCGAACAGGUGAGUAACACGUGAGUAACCUGCCCUUGACUUCGGGAUAACUUCAGGAAACUGGGGCUAAUACCGGAUAGGAAUCCUUGCUGCAUGGUGGGGGUUGGAAAGCUUCGGCGGUUUUGGAUGGACUCGCGGCGUAUCAGCUUGUUGGUGGGGUAGUGGCUUACCAAGGCUUUGACGGGUAGCCGGCCUGAGAGGGCGACCGGCCACAUUGGGACUGAGACACGGACAAGACUCCUACGGGAGGCAGAAGUGGGGAAUAUUGAAAAAUGGGAGGAAGCGCGAUGCAGAAACGCCGCGUGCGGGAUGACGGCCUACGGGUUGUAAACCGCUUUCAGCAGGGGCGAAGCUUGUGGUGACGGUACCUGCAGAAGAAGCACCGGCUAACUACGUG